AUGAAUGAUGAUGAUAAGAACGAUGGAAAGAUGAAAAAAUAUGGAUGGAUUUGUAGUAGGUAGUGUUGUUGUUUGUUGUUGUUGUUGUUUGUUGUUGUUGUU
rnacentral:ribozyme from 14 species